AAAGCUUGCAAGCAAGCGGAUCGCUUGGCUCUGGAUCGAUGAAGAGCGCAGCGAAAUGCGAUAAGUAAUGUGAAUUGCAGAAUCCAGUGAAUCAUCGAAUCUUUGAACGCACAUUGCGCCCGCCAGCAUUCUGGCGGGCAUGCCUGUUCGAGCGUCAUUU
rnacentral:rRNA from 1 species